UGAGGAAUAUUGGUCAAUGGGGGCAACCCUGAACCAGCCAAGUCGCGUGAAGGAUGAAGGUCUUAUGGAUUGUAAACCUCUUUUACACGGGAAUAAAGUGGGGGACGUGUCCCCCUUUGCAUGUACCGUGUGAAUAAGGAUCGGCUAACUCCGUGCCAGCAGCCGCGGUAAUACGGAGGAUCCGAGCGUUAUCCGGAUUUAUUGGGUUUAAAGGGUGCGCAGGCGGGAUGUUAAGUCGGCGGUGAAAUUUUGCAGCUCAACUGUAAAAGUGCCUUCGAUACUGGCCUCCUUGAGUGUGGAUGAAGUAGGCGGAAUUUGUGGUGUAGCGGUGAAAUGCUUAGAUAUCACGAGGAACUCCGAUUGCGCAGGCAGCUUACUAAACUACAACUGACGCUCAUGCACGAAGGCGUGGGGAUCAAACA
rnacentral:rRNA from 1 species